GGGGCGGUAGCUCAGCAGGUCAGAGCAGAGGACUCAUAAUCCUUUGGUCCUGGGUUCAAGUCCCAGUCGCCCUA
rnacentral:tRNA from 2 species